GACGAACGCUGGCGGCGUGCUUAAUGAAUGCGAGUCGAGCGAGAACCGGACUGAGGAAACCUUCGGGUGGAAUCAGUCUGGGGAGAGCGGCAAACGGGUGAGUAACACGUGGGUAACCUGCCCCUCAGACGGGGAUAAUUCGCCGAAAGGCGGACUAAUACCCGAUGGUGAUGUGCCAACACAUGUUGAUACAUCUAAAGGCUCCGGUGCUGAGGGAGGGGUCCGCGGCCGAUUAGCUUGUUGGUAGGGUAACGGCCUACCAAGGCUUCGAUCGGUAGCCGGUCUGAGAGGAUGACCGGUCACACUGGGACUGAGACAUGGUCCAGACUCCUACGGGAGUUAGCAUCAGGGAAUCUUGCGCAAUGGGCGAAAGCGUGACGCAGCGACGCCGCGUGGGUGAUGAAGGCCUGCGGGUCGUAAAGCCCUGUCGGGAGGGAAGAAACAGCACCUUCGGGUGCUUUGACUGUACCUCCGGAGGAAGCCCCGGCUAAUUACGUGCCAGCAGCCGCGGUAAUACGUAAGGGGCCAGCGUUGUCCGGAAUUACUGGGCGUAAAGAGCACGUAGGCGGUUAGGAAAGCGAUAGGUGAAAUCCCCCGGCUCAACCGAGGAACUGCUUAUCGAACUGCCUGACUAGAGCACGGGAGAGGGCACUGGAAUUCCUGGUGUAGCGGAGGAAUGCGUAUAUAUCAGAGGAACACCGGUGGCGAAGGCUGGUGCCUGGAACGUUGCUGACGCUAAGUGCGAAAGCCAGGGGAACAAACGGGAUUAGAUACCCCGGUAGUCCUGGCCGUAAACGAUGGACACUAGUGUUGGAGGUUCGACCCCUUCAGUGCUGUUAAGCUAACGCGUUAAGUGUCCCGCCUGGGGAGUACGGUCGCAAGGCUGAAACUCAAAGGAAUUGACGGGGGCCCGCACAAGCGGUGGAGCAUGUGGGUCAAUGGAUGAUACGCCGAGAACCUUACAGGGCUUGACAUGACCCUGAUCCCCUGCGAAAGCAGGUCUUCUGGGCAACCAGACAGGGCCACAGGUGGUGCAUGGUUGUCGACAGCUCGUGUCGUGAGAUGUUGGGUUAAGUCCCGCAACGAGCGCAACCCUCGCCGGAUGUUGCCAGCGGUUAGGCCGGGCACUCUUCCGGGACUGCCGGAGUAAUCCGGAGGAAGGGGGGGAUGACGUCAAAUCUGCAUGCCCCUUAUGUCCUGGGCUGCACACGUGCUACAAUGGCGAGUACAAAGGGUCGCGAAGCCGCGAGGCCCAGCUAAUCCCCAAAAACUCGUCCCAGUUCGGAUUGGAGUCUGCAACUCGACUCCAUGAAGUCGGAAUCGCUAGUAACCGUGGAUCAGCAAUGCCGCGGUGAAUACGUUCCCGGGCCUUGUACACACCGCCCGUCAAGUCACGGAAGCUGACAGCACCCCAAGUCCGCUACGGCGGCCCAAGGUGAGGUCAGUGACUGGG
rnacentral:rRNA from 1 species